rnacentral:rRNA from 1 species
GACGAACGCUGGCGGCGUGCCUAAUACAUGCAAGUAGAACGCAGUUGCGAACGGGUGAGUAACACGUAGGUAACUGCCUCAUAGCGGGGGAUAACUAUUGGGAACGAUAGGUAAUACCGCAUACUGUGAGAUGGACCUGCGUUGUAUUAGCUAGGUGGGGAGGUAAAGGCUCACCAAGGCCACGAUACAUAGCCUAGCUGAGAGGGUGGACGGGCCCACUGGGACUUGGACACGGCCCCAACUCCCACGGGAGGCAGGCGGAGGGAAUUUUCGGCAAUGGACGGAAGUCCUACCGGGCCACGCCGGGGGAGUGAAGAAGGUUUUCGGAUCGUAAAGCUCUUUUGUUAGAGAAGCGGUAACUAACGAGAAAGGGACGGCUAACUACGUGCCAGCAGCCGCGGUAAUUC